rnacentral:pre_miRNA from 1 species
ACGGGAUCUCAGUGGGCAUUGUCUUCAGUGUUUGAAACAAGAAUGCCCUGUGAAAUCCUGUCU